UGCUUCUUCUCAGCGUGAGAAUUCAGCGGCAAGCGAUAUGACUCAUUGCCCUUAUUUUUGGUCCUAAAUAAUUAAUUUAAAAUCAUAGCAGUAAUUACGGAAAUAAUUAUUCGCAUUCAAUCCCUUCAAGGAUCCGGUUCGGUUUGCUGCGUCGGCCAUCCGGUUCGGUUUGGAUUUAUUAAUUUUGCUAGGGCUUCUGAUUUUAAAAUGUUCGGUUUGGGUGAAAUUGCUGUGGUAUAUAUGAGGAGCUCCUGCAUCGCCGCCAUAACUAAGGAUAACAUUUUGAUCUUUUUAUCGUCCAUGGAUCCUCUUGCUUUGCUUUGUAGUCUUUAUAUGUUUGUUCGAUUAGAUUAAGGUUUUUUGCCGUUUGUGUAGUGUUAUUGCUUGAAUUGAUUACAGUCUUUUCUGAGUUAGGAUUAGAUAACUUAUGGUGCAAAGAGAGAGGGAGAGCAAAUGAUGGGAUACACUUGAUCUCUGAACUUCACAGGUAAGUUCGCUUGUUGAUAACUACUGGUCUGCUGAUGCUCUCUUUCUCACACUCUCUGCUCCUGAUUGGGAUUUUUAUUAAUGAGAUUUGAUUAUGUAAGACGUUACUGUGAUUAAGUGUAGUAGAAUUUGAUGUGUAGUUUAAACAUUAGUAAUGAUUGAUUUUAUUAUAUAUGAAGUUAAUCAUAAUGCCUUGGAACAUGAUCUUUAGAAAAUGCAUCAAUAAUGUUUGGAUGAAAUGCUUAAUCCAUCUACCCCGCAAAGCUAAGGAUAAUGACCGGAUGGGUAAGUCGUUCUGAAGAUUGUUUGACUAGUCAUCUUUGUGAGUCUCUUUUACUGGUUCAAGGAAUCAGUUAGAAAGAGAUGAGCAAGGGAGUAGGAUGAUUAAGAAUAAUAAAUUGACUCAAAAUAAUCAAACAAUGAGAUAGUUUACCUGGUUGUAUCAUUUCCAUAAUUGUAGUUAGAUAGGAAAGGCGUUGGUCAUCAGAAGGUACAAGCACCUUUGUCUGCUCGUCAUCCUCAAUAGAGAAAAAGGAGGGCUUAAACUUGUAGAAGUCUUGGGACCAACAUUUGGCCGUCUCAAAAACUCCCCAACUGUCAGCUUCCAUGUCGUACACAUGAAGCUCAAUGUCACUAGAACGUAUCAUUUUCUCCCUCACCACUAGACACUUGCCGUCAUAUGCAACCACGUUCCAACAUUCAAGAUCUGAUUCCUCCAUUGAUACGUUCUUGAACUGGCUUGCGAGUGUCCACUUGUGAUACCCGAGUAGUGUGUAAACUGAGAUUGCUUUUUUCGUCCCUGAUAUCAAUGUCAGGAGAUUGGUCUCAUCGUUUGCUGCGAAAAGCACCUUCGUAUCCGGUGUUGGAUGGAAGCUACAAGGAAUCAGUCGUGCUUGCUCUGUCUCGGGAUUGAACGCUAUGAUGCUCCAGUCGUUUCUCAACCAGUGAAGAUUGCCAUCUACGUAAACAGGUUUCAUCCGCUUCUUGAGACCACUUUUGGAGCUGGUCGUGAGGGUCGUUUUCGAUAACCUCCAAGAAUCUCCGUCGCUGAUUUCAAAUCUGUACUUUGUUUCCAUCUCAAGUAUGCAGACGAUCUUGAAUAUCUUGGUGAUUCAACAUUGAUCUACCACGAAACCGACGCACAUCGCUCUCUCUGUACGAACAAGGGGACCAUCGGGGUCAUAAGGAUCAGCCUUUUCGACACCACCAACUAUGUGAGGCAGAAGCUUCGACCCAGAGUGAUCCACGAUUCGAAAUUUCUUUGUCAAGGGAUUUACGAUGAAGAAGUGACCAAUGUAUAGUAGGAGAAGGCCGGAGCAUGAGCCGAAAAUGUAACAUCGAUCGUUAAUGAACUCUGCUUUGUUUCCUAGUGACAUAUAAUCACAUGAAUAGACCAAAGGUUGGCAGAAGAUGAGAGAUUUGUUAGAGCUCCAAAUGUUAAUCAAAGUGGGUCUGACCCACGAAGGAUACUGAGGUCCAAAUCUUGGGUCAGUUAAAUACGAUUUGAAAGAUUUGUUUGUACAUCGUAUCAUUGCCAUAGCUUGGGGUUCUGAUCUGAAGAGAAUCAUGUCGAGAAGAUCCAAAGGUAAAUCAUCCAGGAGGAUCAUAGUUAUAUCAACGUGAGAACUUCCCCCUACGUCUGUUUUUGCUUGUCGUUGAUACGAAUAUAUUUGUUUGUUUCACUUGUUUACAGAUGAUGUUGUUAUAUAGAGAGGACAAAUUCUAACUUGAAAAAAAUAAAUAUGGAAUGAUCAAUGCAAGGAAAAUCUCACCAAUUUUAUUUAUUAAAUUUUGAUGGAUUUGAUGUAUCAAUUAGAUGACCCAAA